rnacentral:lncRNA from 1 species
AAAGCUGUCUCCGCUGCCGGUCAGCUGGGUGGCUUGCGAAGGACGCUUCGCCCCUAGCGAAAAAUACCCUGCUGGCAAGGCAGUUAUGAAAGUUAAGACAUAUUUCCACGUAGAGGGGGAUGCGGGUGUGCCAUGCGAAUGUAAAUCCUCACAAUUAACCUUGAACCCUGCAGAGAAAGUCAGCUUGGGCAGGGAAGUUAGCCGCACUUUUUGGUCGCCAGGCUGUGACCUCUCUUGUUGUCUCCCACGACUGAACACGGGAAGGAUGGAGAGCUGUCCUGCUUCUCUGUUCCCCCUCCGCCACGCGCGCACCUGGGCGGAGUGAGUGCCUACAGAGCCUGCUUACAUGUGUACAUUGCCUUAAGUCCAGCGUUUAGUAUCCGUCCUCAGAUCUCAGAGGUAGGCGGGGUUUCGAGGCAGGCGAGAAUUUUACCGUGGUGCGUUUGAAGAAAGAAGAUGUCCACACAGAGGUUCAGAACAAUGGGAGGAAGUUGAGCUUCGCCUGGGGAAAGAAGCAGCCCACGAUGCAGGAUGGCUGUACCAGACAGAGCUUCUCAGCUCAGGAUCGGUGCUAGGAGAAGGUGGACUUUCCAGGGCCGCGAGGCAGGACGUCCUCUGGGAGGGCAGUGACUGCGGGUCACUGCCUGGGAAGUGCUGUCCUCACUUGGAAGCCUGAAGUCGGACAAUAGGGAAAUGGGGUCGGAAAGGGGACUAGGAAAUGCUCCAUAACAUCAUCUUAUUCCUCCUGUCAGCGGCCCCAACCCACAAUGUAACUUGUUUUUGUUGGUGGUAGUGGGUUUUUUUGUUUGUUUUGUUUUUGUUUUUGUUUUUGAGACGGAGUUUUGCUCUUGUCGCCCAGGAUGGAGUACAAUGGCACGAUGUGGGCUCACUGCAACCUCCUCCUCCCAGGUUCAAGCGAUUCUCCUGCCUCAGCCUGCCGGGUAGCUGGGAUUACAGGCGCCUGCCACCAUGCCCAGCUAAUUUUUGUGUUUUUAGUAGAGACGGGGUUUCGUCAUGUUAGCCAAGCUGUCCGCGAACUCCUGACCUCAGGUGAUCCACCCGCCUCGGCCUCCUAGAGUUCUGGGAUUACAGGUGUGAGCCACCACGCCCGGCUUGUAACUUGCUUUUUUUUUUUUUUAAAGGAGAAAGAAUUCUAGCGAUUUCUUGGAUAAAAUAUUAAGAAUAGAAAGGCAGUUGAUUGACAUUAGUUUCAAUGCUUGAAAGUAAAAGCAGAUAUAUAGUGGAUCCCAACUUUUGAGACUGAGGUUCCCUUUGCAGCUAUUUUGGAGACCCUUCCUAUAUCAGAAUUUGGACAGGAAAAAAUGGUCCACUCAAAAGGGGAAGUUGAGAGUUAUUAUUUACAAAGACGUGGGCGGGGUUCAGGAAAACAACUCAGGGUGGCACAACUGGAGCUAUUAAGGGCCGAAUUGUGUCCCCUCCCCAAAAUUCAUAUGCUGGAGUCCUAACCGCCACUCCCCACCCCCACCCCGGGACCUCAGAAUGUGACUGUAUUUGAAGAUAGGGUCUUUAAUGAGGGAAUUUAGUUAAAUGAGGUCCCAAGUUAUUUAGCAAGUCGUCCAAGCCCUUUUAUACUCCUGCCCCAUCUAAUUUUUCUGCAUCACUUGUGUCCUUCACUCCCUGGAUGCCUAUGCUCAGGAUUUAGGGAACUACUUACUCUUCUCCCAGGAAGGGUGUGCUACAAUUGGCUUCUACGGCCUAGCAAGCAUACUGUUCACCUCUUCCCAGCUGCCUUAGCUCAGGCUGCCAUAACAAAUGCCAUAGACUGGGCAGCUUAAACAACAGGCAUUUGUUUCUCAUAGUUCUGGAGGCUGGGAAGUCCAAGAUCAAAUGCAGGCAGAUUUAGCUCAUUUAGGGGAAGCUCUCCUCAUGGCUUGCAAAUGGUUACCUUCUCACUGUGUCCUUACAUGGGGUAGAGAGAGGGCUCUGUCUUCCCUUUCUUCUAAGGCAUCAGCCGUAUUGGAUUAGGGACUCACCCUUAUGAUCUCAUUUAACCAGAUUUGCUGCCUAAAGACCCUGUCUCCAAAUAGUCACAUUGAGGGUUAGGGAUUCAGCAUAUGAAUUUGGGGGGCACCCAGUUUAGCCCAUAGCACCAACUCUGCCUUUGUUGACUUCACAUUAAUAGCUUGAAAUCAGCCAUAGUAGGAGUAUUUAUACCACAGAAAUGGACAAACUAUAAACUGGAACUUUGGGGGAGAGGCAAUUAUUAAUCUUUUCCCACAUACCCCUACUUGUUAUUCUGUCACUUCUGUGAUCUUACAAGCAGGUCCCUCUGCUUAGAAUUCUCUUACCCAUUCCAAACUCAGACAAAGUUUCUCUUUUCUGAAGCUUUCCCCUACCCUCUGACAGCAAUAGGCUCUUGCAUCUCCUGUGUACCCCCAAACCAAUAUUUCUAAUGUCAUUAUUAUAGUAGUUAUUGAUUUGGAUUUUAAUCCAUUUUCCCUACCAUUUCCUAGCCCUUACUCUAAGCUGGGCAUUAUUUUAAACACCCCACCCAAGGGGUUCUUCCUGCCCACUGCAUAAAGAAAGACCAUAGCAUUGUGGUAGAAAAAGAGCUUAAUAGACACGAGGCCGACCAUGCCAGGUGGGAGAUGGAGUGCAUGCUCAGGUCAUCUGAUCCAAAGUCCGAAGCUCAUAGGCUGGGGGUUUUUCAAACGCAGUUUGGAGGAAGGGGUGGGAGUGGCCAGGUAACAGGUGCUUGCUGCUGAUUGGUUGAGGCUGAGAUGAAAUCAUAGGGGGAGUCAAAGCUGUCCUCCUGCAGUCUGAAUCACUUCUGGGUGGGGCUGUGGG